UACGGAGGGUGCGAGCGUUAAUCGGAAUUACUGGGCGUAAAGCGCGCGUAGGUGGCUUGAUAAGCCGGUUGUGAAAGCCCCGGGCUCAACCUGGGAACGGCAUCCGGAACUGUCAAGCUAGAGUGCAGGAGAGGAAUGUAGAAUUCCCGGUGUAGCGGUGAAAUGCGUAGAGAUCGGGAGGAAUACCAGUGGCGAAGGCGGCCUUCUGGACUGACACUGACACUGAGGUGCGAAAGCGUGGGUAGCAAACAGG
rnacentral:rRNA from 1 species